AGAAUCAACGCUAGCGGCGUGCCUAACACAUGCAAGUCGAACGAGAAAGUGGAGCAAUCCAUGAGUAAAGUGGUGCACGGGUGAGUAACACGUGACUAACCUACCCUCGAGUGGGGAAUAACUUCGGGAAACCGAGGCUAAUACCGCAUAAAACCUAAGGGUCAAAGGAGCAAUCCGUUUGAGGAGGGGGUCGCGGCAGAUUAGUUAGUUGGCGGGGUAAUGGCCCACCAAGACGAUGAUCUGUAUCCGGCCUGAGAGGGCGCACGGACACACUGGAACUGAAACACGGUCCAGACUCCUACGGGAGGCAGCAGUGGGGAAUUUUGCGCAAUGGGGGAAACCCUGACGCAGCAAACGCCGCGUGGAGGAUGAAAUCCCUUGGGAUGUAAACUCCUUUCGAUCGGGAAGAUAAUGACGGUACCGGAAGAAGAAGCCCCGGCUAACUUCGUGCCAGUAGCCGC
rnacentral:rRNA from 1 species